ACCCGCCUCGACCGCGGCCUGGCCGCGGGGCGGUCCCUGAGGCGACGGCGGGCGGCCGCGAGGGAGGAGGGAGGCGGCGGGCGGCCGAGCCCCGCCGUGUGACCCCCCGCCCCGCCGCCGCCGCGCCCCUUCCCCGGGGGCCGCGCCGAUCCCGCCGUCCCUGCGCGGGGCCGCGCCUCCGCUGCCCGCCCCGCCUGAGGGGCUGCCCGCGCCGCGGCUGGGGGCAAGGCCUGGCGGCCGCCUCGCUGCAAGCACCGGCCGCCGCCCGCCCGCUGCCCUCGGCCCGCCCUUCCCCGCGGCUGCCGGGCUGCGGGCCCGCGGGGGCAGCGCAGCCGCCCGGCCCUGCCCGGUGGGCUGCGGGCCGGCGCGGGGGGCGGAGCUGGGGGUUCGCCUCAGGCCCCCGCUUGGGCCCGGGCCUGCGAACCGCCGCUCGCCCGGGUAGCUGCUGCCGUCGCAGGGGCACGGCCCUACGGGGGGCGCGGCGGGAGAGCCCUGGCCCUGCGGGGCCGGCUGGGGGCUGACCCGGGCCGAGCCGCCUUUCCCGGCUCCCCACCGAGGCCCGGCAGCCGCCGCGCUCCGGGCAGGAAGACCCCCGGCCACCGGAGCGCAGCCCUCGUCACCGGUCCCAGUGCCUGGCCGUUACCCAUCACGGUGCCUGGCUGUCACCCGUCACUAGUCACGGUGCCUGGCUGUCACCCAUCACCAGUCACGGUGCCUGACCAUCACCCAUCACCAGUCACGGUCCUGGCUGGCACCCAUGGGCUGGAGCCAGCUGGCAGGGCGCUUCUGUCUGGGCCCUGGAAAUGCCUAGAAAAAUAGAUGGCUCCAGAUUAUUCAGGAGGGAUUUGGGCCAGAGAAGGCGCAACACCUGGACUGGCUCCACGUCAGACAACCGGUGUCCAGCUGGGCUUUGCAGCGGAGACACACACCAUGUGUGAACAGAAUUGAUCUGAUUACAGGCAAAGGUAUGAGCGUGGCAGGAGGUUCUGUCUGAUCCUAUGUGGGUCCCACAAGGAGCACCACUAAAUUGGAACUAGUAAACCUUGAUGGACUCCAGCUUCAUUCCGUGAAUUCGGGUCUGCCAACACAGCGCUUCCCAUCCUGCCACAGUACGCCUGUGUUACCAGACAUUUUCUACCAUUAUGCACUGUGGUUCCCCUGUUACUUUGGGAAGUGAAUAGUGGAUUGCGUAGUCACCUUGUUACCCAGGAGCAUGCAGAAGCGAUCCUGCUGUGGUGCAGAAUACAACGCUAAAUACAAGCAUGCAUUCCUGGUACUGGGAAAGCACUGUUCACUCUAAUAGACUCUCAAGCACACUGCCACGAUUUGUUGUUUCCAUUAGAAAAGCAUCUAGUAAUCUGAAAAUGGAUCUAGAAACCAUUGUUCUAGAUACUACGCUUGACACAUAAUAAAAAGAAAGCUCAUGCCCUGCAGAGCUUGUAGCAAGAGUAGAUUAAGCGAGUUCUUAAGGAUACCCAUUGAGAGAGUUGUGCAGGUUUUUUCAGGUCUCAUAGACGUGUUGCACCAGCACAAACAAACCUGCCAGAACACUUUCUAAAAGCCAGUUCGCAGACAGGCAGGUCCAAACAGAAAGGCUGAAGCUUUAACCUACCUUGGAACUCUUUGCUGGUUUCUAACAAGCCCUCCCGAUUCUGAAUGACCUCUCAGUUCUCGACAGCAGCAAUGACCACAGCUCGCAGAAACACAGCAUCUCUCCUGACCAAGCCGACAGCAGGGUCAGCAGCAUGCAAAAAGGCGAUGGGUUUCACAGGCAGACACACGUACACACGGCGCACCGCCUCUCCGCACUACCUGUCUCGUCUUGUUUUAGCCGUUCCUGGCGAGCAGGCAGGGUACUGGAGCAUGCAGAAAUCUCGGGUUUUUUAAGCACCCUGAGAGUGGGCUCAUGUUUUUCAGUACUAGGUAGCCCAGAAGAAUGUGCCAAGGAGCAAGAACCAAACAGGCAGUGUAAUAGAUAGACACAGCUAUGGGUGUACCUCGGCUUCAUGCUUCUUGGGCUUCUCUGUGACCUGCAAGAAGCAAGAAACACCAGAAGAUGGGACUGAAACUGCCUCUUUCUUGCUCAUUCUUCAGUGCCAGAUCACAUCAGGAUAUAAGAUACCUGAGGACUACUUGCUGUUUGCAGACUGCUGGAAGACAGAGGCGUAAUCACCUAUUGGUGAGUGACAAACAGAAGAGGACCUGCAGCCACUUGCAUCAUGGAGGACCAGUGCAGGGCCAUUGCAUGCUUCCAGGUAACUUUUCAGGCAGGUGUUCACGAGUUCAGCGGCGAGGUGCAGUGACAGCAAAAUAAACUCAAUUCACAGACUCCUGUCAUCCUCCGGAUCUGUGGAUCGGUUCUGACUCCCUCCCAGCCUCAUUCAUUGCUUCUGAGGAUGAAGUCCUGAACAUCUGCUGUGGUCGAAACUAUUCUUACAUCAUCUUCUGAAUGCAGUGACUUCAAGCCCAUGAAACCAUGAUGUUAAUGCCAUAGUCAAGGCUUCAGCCAAAGCUCUUUCUGCAGACCUGGGCUGACUUUUUUGAAAAUGCCAUGGCAGUUGCUAGUUCUUCACCAACAGAGGAAUUACCAGAGUCGUGUAGCAUUAGGCUUAUCAUGCAAUACAAGAAAAUGGGAGAGUUUUCCAGCAGAGCAGCAGUCUGCUUGGGGGUGGCAGUACCAUAGUAUGAAUUCCUUACUGAAUCUCAGAUGAAUUUUGAUUUUUGUCUUGUUGUAUAAAAUGGGGAAGAAUAUCCUUGCUCUGUGUUAUCUACUUAGAAUAAUAAGCUGCUGGAGGCAAAUGUUUUACCAUGCGUGGUAUUAAUUUGGUAGUGUUAGCUGUAUUGACACCUUUCUGUGCAAAGAUUAAUAACAGUUAAAAAUCAAACCCAAAUGGGGCAAGCCUGAAGAUUAUCUAGGUGUGGACUCACAGCUGAAGUAAUUACUGUUCUUCUGCUUUCGAUAAGAGAUGUAUAACACUGUGGUAGUGAUAGCAUGGCUAAUGAAAACUGCACAGAAAUGGAAGUUAUCCAGGGAGAACGCAAAAUUUCAGGAGUUUAAUACACUCAGGGACUGAGUAAUUUCUGCCUUGCUGUACUGAAAGGACAUCUUAAACAAAAUUGUCACAUUUGGGAUGAUGCUACAGAAAUAGAUGACUGCUGUUGCACACUAGUUCUGAAGAAGCCAAGAGGCAAAAGAGGGGAGAUGUAGGCUAAUGCACACCCAUCAGUCUGACCCCCAACAGUAUGUAGUAUUUUAGAACAAAUUUUGACUACAAACAUCAUUAAAGAUAUGGGAAAAUGCGGCAGGAGCUUACCAAAGGUAGGUUAUACCAACCUCUGGUAAGAGGGACUGAUCUAGAUGAAAAAAAUACUACUAUUUGGGACUUUAGGACAACCUUCAUUACCGUGUCCUAAAGGAAAUGGAUAGUUCUGCUGGAAAAGGGAUUCUCACACAACAGAGAGGUGAUACAGGGCUGCUAAUGGGGACAAGAGAUCAUGCUGCAAGGGGAAAUACCAGGCUGAAAGACAGCUUGAAGUGAAGGCUUUUCUGGAAAAUACUCAUUUUAAUUUCUGUUAGUGCCAUUUGGAAAAGCCUGAAGCAUGCUGAUGACAUUUGCUAAUGAUUAAGGUGUAUCAUCGGAGGAAGAUGGUAAGAAGGGGGUGGGGCGGUAGGAAUAGAAUAAAAUGUAGUGGUACAGGAGUGCAGGGCCACGUAGUUACAAAACCUUUUACUACAGUGGGGACUUCCAUUCCACUUGCCUUUCCAACCAGGGAGGACAAAGAAAGAGAGGACCAAUUUGUAUGGCCUUGAUAAUGUGACUCCAGGAUAUACCAGCCAUUCACAGUACAGAAAGGAGAGUAUUUAUUCCACUGCACGACACAUCUGGAGUAAAUUAUACUGUUCUGGUCACCCAUCUUCAAGAAAGGAAAAAUGGAAAAGAAAAAACAUGAUGAUAAAAAGAAUUGCGAGCCUGUCUUUGAUGACAGGAGAUUUUGAGCUUGGCUUGUAUGACUUAGCAAAAUAAAUGUCAAGAGGAGAUGACAGCGAGCCCUAUAAAUACAUCAGGAAUGCAAACAUCAUAGGGGAAGUGUUAUUUUAAGCUGAAAAAUAAUUUGGCGAAAGAACAAGUAGGUAUAACUUGGCAAUAAAUAAUUUUAGCCCAUAAAUUAGGAGGUCUGUAAUCUUCAGAGUGAGGCUUUGGUCCGAUCUUUCAGGAGGAGGAGGAAGAGGGUGACAGUUAUCUAAAUGACUCUGGUGUGGUGGCCUGCAAUAGCAGAAAUCUGGUUCCUCUGGCUAGAAAGCCCCUGUGGUUUUAGGUUCCAGUGCAAUGGAAUUCCUACAUGUUAAUACUGUGGCAAAUGUUAAUAUUAAAUAUGAAUAAAGUGUCAACAGC